UAUUAAAUGAUAAGCUUGACCUGAGUACUUAGAUUUUUAGGAUUAUGGCUAUGGGACUCUAACGAGUCUGCCAGAGCUCCCUCGUGGAUAAAGGGGUAACUGCAAGUUAAGGCAUAUAGAGAAUCUGUUAAUUUAAAGGGCAUGCCGAAGAGGAGACAAACCUUUUUAAGGUGGUUAUAAUGAGCUAAUUCAGGGCCAGCCUCAUACACCCUUGGAGGAAGGAGAUUUUCAGAGCUCACUAUCAAAAGGGGUGAAAGUGCAAGAGGAAGUGCAGCCGCUGCCAUCUUUCCUACGCUCCAAACACACAGGGACGGACGGAGCCGGCAGCCCGGAGCCGCAGCCGGCGGAGCCGCCCCCCCUCCCUCCCGGCUCGCUGCAGCCGCGCCGCGCCUGCC